UUUUCCCAGUGAAAGAGAUGCUUAGAAAGUGUUUCAUUGGGCAUGAACUCAGCAACUAGCAAUCUCUCAUCACCCUCACAACAACACCCAACUAAAUUUGCCAUUUUCUCACUUCUCAGCAGCCCUACUGCUCUUGCUUCCUCCUACAUUUUAUAUCAGAAUCCAAUCAAACAACCAACUAUACUAAAUAACUAAUAAAUGCUUUUUUUUGUUUUUUGAUAAAUCUAGCAUACAUUCUUGAAGAACCGUCUACAGUAUUAUAUACAACUUCCUUAGGACAAAUACCCGUAUUCCAUAACACCUGCCAUUCUAGUGCUAGCCGCAUCACUUGCAACAAAUUUCUUAGUCUGCUCCAUAACCUUAUGUGCUCCCCUUCAUCUUUUUUUUUUUUUUUUUUUUUUGUGUGUGUACGUUUUGCCUUUAGCAAAACUGUUGAGUGCUUAAGCACAGCAAAGGAAGAGCAACAAAUUCUGAAGAUGAAUUGGCUAUAGUUUACUUGGUUGGACAAUCUUUUUUUUACAGAAUUGCUCUGCCAAAAAAUUUAGGGAUUAUCAAGGGUUUUGUAAUCAGUUAAGCAAUUAUGGAUUUGCCCUAGAAAGCUCUACUACAUCUUCUUGUUAGUACUAUAUUAUAGUGCUUAAUUGUUAUCCUAAUUCUAGGA